UACCUGCAGCCCGAGUGGUGAUCGAUAUUAUUGAGCCUAAAGCGUCCGUAGCCGGUCUGGUAAACUCUUGGGUAAAUUGGGCAGCUUAACUGUCCGAAUUCCGAGAGGACUGCCAGACUUGGGACCGGGAGAGGUCAGAGGUACUCCAGGGGUAGGGGCUAAAUCCUGUAAUCCUUGGGGGACCACCAGUGGCGAAGGCGUCUGUCUAGAACGGAUCCGACGGUAAGGGACGAAACCCUGGGGCGCAAACCGGAUUAGAUACCCCUGUA
rnacentral:rRNA from 1 species